AGGACGAACGCUGGCGGCGUGCUUAACACAUGCAAGUCGAGCGGAAAGGCCCUUCGGGGUACUCGAGCGGCGAACGGGUGAGUAACACGUGAGCAACCUGCCCCUGGCUCUGGGAUAGCCUUCGGAAACGGGGAUUAAUACCGGAUAUUCACUGCUUCCUGCAUGGGGGGUGGUGGAAAGUUUUUCGGCUAGGGAUGGACUCGCGGCCUAUCAGCUAGUUGGUGGGGUAAUGGCCUACCAAGGCGACGACGGGUA
rnacentral:rRNA from 1 species